GCCUCUGAGUAGAAACAAUAGCAAUUUUCUCAGCGCGGCUGCAAUUAACGCCGUGUUUGUUCCCCGGCAGAGAUAAGGCUGUGUCCGAUCGCAGCCGUAUCCAUUCCCUCGGCUGCCGCCGGCCGCCCUCUUGGCCCGGGGAAGGAGGGAGAGCCGGCGGGGUGCCCGGAGCGGUCCCAGUGCGGGAGCGACGCUGCCCCGGCUGCGAGCGGAGUUUGCGAGGCGACAGCGGCUGAAGCGGCACCGUCAGCGGCGGGUGGGGUCAGACGGGGGAGGUUCGUGGAAAAAGCUUUGCCACAAGAAAGACAUCUCCCCCUUUUCCUUUUGUUUUUGUUUUAAUUUUUGCUACAUCUGGAUGUGGUUUGGCCUCAUUCAGGGACACACAGUCCACAAUGUCUAUUCAGCUUGAAACACAGAAAGAAUAUUCUAAACUAGGAUCAGAAUCCAAGUGAGUCUUUAUUUUCUUGUAUCUUUGGUUCUAGUGGGUGGAAGUACAAAUGGUAUGGUGGCACUGUUACUGCUUUACUGCUGCUGACAAAGUAUGGACUGUCCAUCUCUUUAAAAUAAGGUUUCUGUAGGCUUGAUUUGAG
rnacentral:lncRNA from 1 species